rnacentral:ncRNA from 1 species
ACCCUUGGAGAGACUCGAAAUAGAGCACCGAAGGAGAAAGUUAUAUGGAAAAACAACCUAUAGCGAAACUCUCAGGUAAAAGGACAGGGACA